UCGGGAUAGGUCAGCCGGUAGAGCAGAGGACUGA
rnacentral:tRNA from 1 species